rnacentral:rRNA from 1 species
CGGGACGGGUGAGUAACGCGUGGGUAACCUGCCUUGUACUGGGGGACAACAGUUAGAAAUGACUGCUAAUACCGCAUAAGCGCACAGUAUCGCAUGAUACAGUGUGAAAAACUCCGGUGGUACAAGAUGGACCCGCGUCUGAUUAGCUAGUUGGUAAGGUAACGGCUUACCAAGGCGACGAUCAGUAGCCGACCUGAGAGGGUGACCGGCCACAUUGGGACUGAGACACGGCCCAG